rnacentral:rRNA from 1 species
AUUGAACGCUGGCGGCAGGCUUAACACAUGCAAGUCGAGCGAGCGGCGGACGGGUGAGUAAUGUAUGGGGACUGCCCGAUAGAGGGGGAUAACUACUGGAAACGGUGGCUAAUACCGCAUACUAUCAGAUACCCCAUAUGGGAUUAGCUAGUAGGUGGGGUAAAGGCUCACCUAGGCGACGAUCCCUAGCUGGUCUGAGAGGAUGAUCAGCCACACUGGGACUGAGACACGGCCCAUACUCCUACGGAGGCAGCAGUGGGGAAUAUUGCACAAGGGGCGCAAGCCGGAUGCAGACAUGCGGCGUGUAUGAAGAAGGCCUUAGGGUUGUAAAUUACUUUCAGCGGGGAGGCGUUACCCGCAGAAGAAGCACCGGCUAACUCCGUGCCAGCAGCCGCGGUAAUAC